GUAGCCUUACCAUGCAGUCGUACGAGAGUUUUUAACUCUAGUGGCGGACGGGUGAGUAACACGUGAGAAUUUACCUUUGGGAGGGGGAUAACAAUUGGAAACGAAUGCUAAUACCCCAUAUGCUUUCGAGUGAAAUGGAUUUAUAUUUAUCCGCCUAGAGAGAAGCUCGCGGCUGAUUAGCUUGUUGGUAAGGUAAGAGCUUACCAAGGCGACGAUCAGUAUCUGGUUUGAGAGGACGAUCAGACACACUGGAACUGAGACACGGUCCAGACUCCUACGGGAGGCAGCAGUGGGGAAUUUUCCGCAAUGGGCGAAAGCCUGACGGAGCAAUACCGCGUGAGGGAAGACUGCCUAUGGGUUGUAAACCUCUUUUUUCAGGGAGGAAUAAAAUGACGUGUACCUGAAGAAUAAGCAUCGGCUAACUCCGUGCCAGCAGCCGCGGUAAGACGGAGGAUGCAAGUUGUUAUCCGGAAUCACUGGGCGUAAAGCGUCUGUAGGUGGUUUGAUAAGUCAACUGUUAAAUCUUGAGGCUCAACUUCAAAUCGCAGUCGAAACUAUUAGACUAGAGUAUAGUAAAGGAAAGGGAAUUUCCAGUGGAGCGGUGAAUGCGUAGAUAUUGGAAGAACACCGAUGGCGAAAGCACUUUCUGGGCUAUUACUACACUAGAGACAAAGCUAGGGUAGCA
rnacentral:rRNA from 1 species